CUCGUAGGUGGCUUUGUAAGUCGGAGGUGAAAGACCACGGCUCAACCGUGGAAACGCCUUCGAAACUGUGAAGCUUGAGGCUGGGAGAGGAAAUCGGAAUUCCUGGUGUAGCGGUGAAAUGCGUAGAUAUCAGGAGGAACACCGGUGGCGAAGGCGGAUUUCUGGACCAGUUCUGACACUGAUGAGCGAAAGCCAGGGGAGCAAACA
rnacentral:rRNA from 1 species